GUACCCUUGAGGAGGCGUUUCCAUUGAUAAGGCUGUUAGAGACAACGAAGCAGCCACUUUCCGGCGUUUAUUCUUCCACGUCAAAAGUGGCACGCUCGCAAAUUUGCCAAACUUUGGAGGGCAAUUUCGACCAGAGAAGCGAUAUGCUUGGGGAUUUGGUAGGAACUCACACAAACCCAUCGCUACGCGUCGUUUUUGCAGUUUCCCGUAACUUACUUGGUCACCAAGUCAGUAAAUGUACCGAAACCGCCUGGUUUCCUCUCACGCUCUCUGGUUACUAAUUUUUUUAUUCCGAAAAUACCCUAACCGCCUCUCUACAUUUACCGUUUCAUCCCCUUUCGCCUAAACCCGCCAUUUAUAUAUAUAAACCCUCUUCUCUGAUACUUUGCCAGCUAAUCCUCUUCGCUUUCAUGCCCUCAAACCCUUAAACUCACCCAAUCUCUUGACGUUAUUUAGCCAAUGAUGAUGGAGGCCAAGGGAGCGUCGUUUCCGGUUGUGUUCUUCGACGGCGAACAGGAGACCAGCCUUGGUGACGUCGUCGUUUCCCCUUCUUUGAAUUUCAAAGUUUUCCAAUCGAUUAUCGUUGAGAAACUCGGUCUCUCUCCUCACCAGUUCUCUAUUUAUCUCGCGGACCGCAAGAGGCGUGGCUCAAGAAUCCCCGUCACCGGAAAGAUCGAUUUCACGGCGGUUUCUUAUGAGAAGGAUUGCUUCUUUCUCGUGGUUCUCAAGCGAUCGAGGCGAGAGAGGAGGCGGAAAAGCCGCGAGGUGGCCGAAAUUAUGCAGAACCGUUUCGAUCCACCUGCUAAUCUGAUGCUUUUGAGACGAGACGGUAACACUAUUGCAAUAAACAGUACUGGGUUUUCUGCCCUGGACUUGGGUCGGUCUGGGUACGAAAGUCGGGUAAAGGAACUACAGAUGCAGAAAGAGCGGUACUGGUACUUGAUGAAUAUGGAUUUGGGGUUCGAAGGAGGGCCGAACUUGGGAGCAGAGAGAUCGAAUAGAACAGUAGUUUGCGAGGAAUGCUUAAGGGCUAAGGAGAUGGGCAGAGAUGUUGGGUUCCACUGGUGUGUUUAUGAUACUGUUACUUUCGGGUUCAGGUCACCGGCGGGUCCGAUUGCCCGUCCCGUUAAAGGAUCUAAUUGAGGAUGAUAGUGCAGCGUCGGCAUUUUAAUCGAGGAGUUUUCCCAUUUCUCAUCCGUGCACAGCAGGAAGAGUACAAGAGGAGGGCCGUAUGGUAUACCUUACUAUACGUAUAUGACUGUCCUUAUAAUUUAGGGUUAUAUAUACCAAUACAGUAUAUGGGUAUAUGGGGUAUAUAAGAAGAGGGACAUUUAGUACACUAAAGAAGUGUAGGGCUUUUGGAUUGUGUUUUGGGUGAUACAAGAAACACAAUUGGGUAGAAAAGGGUAUAGAAGUUUUUGAAUUGUGAUUGUGAUUGUGAUUGUGAAGCAAUAUCUGGGAGUUUGGCUGAUCUGCUGCGCCAACCGCCGUCUGUGUCCGGCUGAAUUGAGCCUGACCGUGUCUUUGCAUUUCAAAUGAAGCGGGAGAUUGAAUGUGCGUUUGGCUUAGCAGCUGCAUAGUUUCACUCUCCAGGUACCUAUUUCUUCUCUCUACAUUAUUGUAAUUUUUGUUCCCACCUCCUCCAUUUUCCAAAUUUAGCUGAAGUGGCCUAAAUCCUUGAUUGCGUUGCCAAUCAGCUGAAGAAGAAUGGUGUGGACCUAUGGAACCAUUUGAGCUGUCGUUUUGCUUUGAGCUUGAAUUUCCUAAACUCAAAUCAAGACUAUGAUCCGCCAAAUUGCUACUUGAAUCAGUUGUCGGGUUCAGUUCAUUCUCGUAGAUGCUGGGAUCGAAAUUGGUGACAGCUUCUUUGCCAUUACACUUGAUUGCAGCUUUAUCAUAAGCCCUUGCGGCUUCAAUCUCGGUAUCGAACAAACCCAAAUAGACAUACUUUUUGCCAAGAAAUUGGCCCAUUCGAGCCUCCCAUCUUCCACACUUGUGAAGUGUUACACCUCUAUACUUGGAGCUCCCUCUGGGGAAGCCAGUGCUUUGUCGGCGAAGUACAUGC
rnacentral:misc_RNA from 1 species